rnacentral:rRNA from 1 species
UACGUAGGGGGCAAGCGUUGUCCGGAAUUAUUGGGCGUAAAGAGCGCGUAGGCGGUCCGAUAAGUCGGCUGUGAAAGUCAGGGGCUCAACCCUUGAAAGCCGGCCGAUACUGUCGGACUAGAGUCCGGAAGAGGCGAGUGGAAUUCCCGGUGUAGCGGUGAAAUGCGCAGAUAUCAGGAGGAACACCGGUGGCGAAGGCGGCUUGCUGGGCCAGUUCUGACGCUGAGGAGCGAAAGCGUGGGGAGCGAACAGG